GACGAACGCUGGCGGCGUGCUUAACACAUGCAAGUCGAACGGAAAGGCCCUGCUUUUGUGGGGUGCUCGAGUGGCGAACGGGUGAGUAACACGUGAGUAACCUGCCCUUGACUUUGUGAUAACUUCAGGAAACUGGGGCUAAUACCGGAUAUGAGCUCCUGCUGCAUGGUGGGUGUUGGAAAGUUUCGGCGGUUGGGGAUGGACUCGCGGCUUAUCAGCUUGUUGGUGGGGUAGUGGCUUACCAAGGCUUUGACGGGUAGCCGGCCUGAGAGGGUGAACGGCCACAUGGGGACUGAGAUACGGCCCAGACUCCUACGGGAGGCAGCAGUGGGGAAUAUUGCACAAUGGGCGGAAGCCUGAGGCAGCAACGCCGCGUGCGGGAUGACGGCCUUCGGGUUGUAAACCGCUUUCGCCUGUGACGAAGCGUGAGUGACGGUAAUGGGUAAAGAAGCACCGGCUAACUACGUG
rnacentral:rRNA from 1 species